UCUAAUUAAUAACAAUAAUAUGAAAAGGGAAUUAGGUUUAGAAGUUGUGACCAUCAGACUUGUUUGAAGCUCAGAUUCGUCUCCCUCCUCUCUCACUCGCGGCGGCCGGACUUUCCCUCGAUCUCUCCGAUCAAAUCUUUCUCUCAUCUCCUCCGUGGACAAGAACGAAUCGGCCUCACCUUUCAUCCGUCUCGAUCUUCUCUCUCUCUCGAUUCAGACUUCAUUCAGUCUCUGAUUCAACUCAACGAUCGGAGAUCAGUCCCUAUGUGUGUUCAAUUUGAUCUUAAAGAUGAUAAAUCCAGGGAAUGUGCUUCGAACUUCAGGUCCUUUGGUGAACCGGUUUCUUCCUAUUUGCCGCGGCUCUGUUUGAAAUGUAUGCAGGGAGCUUGAAAGUGAAGAUACCCUCGGAAUAAGCAUAGAUUUUUGUUUAAUUGUUUCAGAACUUGUUUCUUUUUUAAAUGAAUGUAUUGGAAUUGGGUUUGAAUUUUGGAUAAUGGACAUGGACUGAAUUUGUUUUGUAAUGAA